AGGACGAACGCUGGCGGCGUGCUUAACACAUGCAAGUCGAGCGGUGAUCCUCCUUCGGGAGGUGAGCAGCGGCGAACGGGUGAGUAACACGUGGGCAACCUGCCCCUCACACUGGGAUAACCUCGGGAAACCGGGGCUAAUACCGGAUAUGACCUCGAGCGGCAUCUCUUGAGGUGGAAAGCUCCGACGGUGAGGGAUGGGCCCGCGGCCUAUCAGCUUGUUGGUGGGGUAAUGGCCUACCAAGGCGACGACGGGUAGCCGGCCUGAGAGGGCGACCGGCCACACUGGGACUGAGACACGGCCCAGACUCCUACGGGAGGCAGCAGUGGGGAAUAUUGCGCAAUGGGCGAAAGCCUGACGCAGCGACGCCGCGUGAGGGAUGAAGGCCUUCGGGUUGUAAACCCCUUUCACCAGGAGCGAAUUCAGACGGUACCUGGGGAAGAAGCGCCGGCUAACUACGUGCCAGCAGCCGC
rnacentral:rRNA from 1 species